rnacentral:rRNA from 1 species
UGGGGAAUAUUGCACAAUGGGCGAAAGCCUGAUGCAGCAACGCCGCGUGAGCGAUGAAGGCCUUCGGGUUGUAAAGCUCUGUCCUCAAGGAAGAUAAUGACGGUACUUGAGGAGGAAGCCCCGGCUAACUACGUGCCAGCAGCCGCGGUAAUACGUAGGGGGCUAGCGUUAUCCGGAUUUACUGGGCGUAAAGGGUGGGUAGGUGGGUUCUUAAGUCAGGUGUGAAAGGCUACGGCUCAACCGUAGUAA